ACUACUACUACUACUACUACUACUACUACUACUACUAUUAUUAUUAUUAUUAUUAUUAUUAUUAUUAUUAUUAUUAUUAUUAUUAUUUUCUGUUCCUGUAACUUUAAUGUCUUCUAUCAUCUUAUCUUUGUUAGUAAGAAUUAAGUCUGGUAUGGCUGACCUUCUAGUUCCUUUCUCUACCUCUUGGGGGACAAAGUUGUAUGCUAGGUUUGUCAGGAAUCUAUUAGGUGCAGAGUUUAUCUCUUAGUUGAUGUCAGAUAGUUAGUCCCAUAAUAUUUUAUCAACAUAAAGCAUUUUAUGACGUAAUAGAAAAUGUCAUAAAACAUGUCCUGAUAUUUGACUGCAUUAUACAGUUAAAUAUGGGCUAUUUUAAGGCAAAUAGAUCUCUGAAUAUCUUCCUGAAUUUUUAAAAACUUUUGCAGUGAAGGCAAUACGUUGUUGAAGGCCUUAAGGAAUCUGUAAAAUAUCCAUGAAUCAAUGAUCCGACAGGUCACAGGUCGUUAUUAAUAAUUGCAUGCUAACUUGAUUCUAUGUCAGUUUGGUGUCAUGGUUAAGGCUUCAAGCUAGAAACUUGGAGACCCUGAGUUCUAGUCCCACUUUGGCCGGCUGAAGUGAUUUUAGACCAGUCACUUUCUCUCAGUCUUAGGAAUGGCAAAUCACUUUUGAAAAGACUUGCCAAGAAAAUUGCAGGGAUUUGUGCAAGCAGUUUCCAGGAGUUAAAGACUGACUCAGAGAAACCAAAACAGCAACAAGAACAAGCAAGCAAACAAACAAAAAAAUUCCAAACCAUACUACUUGAUUCUAAGCAAGAUUUGAAGAUUUAAAAUGGUAUCUAUACCUUUUUUCUACCUGAAGUGGUUGAUUUGAUCUGCCAAAGAUAGACCAACCAUAAUUUCAAGUAUAUCAUGGCCAACAGAGAAUGUCUCUCAUUCUAUAUCAGUUGCAAAUGUGCUUCUAGGCACAAAGCCAAAGCUAUCAAAGGAGCACCUAUAUUCAUCAGAGUCUGCCAGGCCAGAAACCUUGUUUACAAAUAGCCUCACUGGUGGCAGUGAUUCAGUGGUGGAUGAAAGAGUCUUUUCCUCUAAAGCGCUCAUAGAUAAUGAUACCUUCAGAGUGAGCUAUGUUUGAUCCAACUCAUACAUCUUUUAAAAGGCUUUAAAAGCUUAUUUUGUAUAUGCUAUUUUCUAGGCUAGUUUUUGCACUGAAUGGUCUUAUUCUUUUUUUGUUUAAUGUGAUAACCCAUAUUUUUGAAAUUUUAUUAUUAUUAUUAUUACUAUAUUUAAUAUAUAGUAUUUUAAAAGCUAUGUGUGUUCUAUGCAAUCUGUAUAAAAUACAUUAAAUAGGAUUUUUUCUUUAUAAUGUGUGCUUACAUGUAAUAUGAGUCCACACUUACACAGAAGCAAAUACCAGCUCAUUAGCUCCACCACAGGUCACAUCUUCUAGUUUGAUCUUCUGAGAACCUCCUCAUGCACUGGAGGAUUCUGUCAUCUUCCUCAAGAGUCACAAACUUGCUCCAUAUACUGUAACUCUAUACAAUCUGUUUCCAGUAUGUACUGUAGGGCUAACUAUUUACUUUAUUUAUUGCAGACUCUGAAAAAUCUCAAAAAAUAUAAUCUGUACGUUUAAUAAUAACAAUGAGAAUUAGUGAAUGUCUUCAUGUCCCAUGCCAUAAAAUAUAUCCAUAUCAUAAAAUAUAGUGAACAAUUUUACAAACAUCCACUUUUUGUUUAGCCUAAAACAUUUGCUCCAUCCCUGUGGCAAGCUGAUGAUUUAGCUGUGAAAUGACCUGAUUUAAAGGACCAUAAUCACUAUGAAACUUACAUUAAAUUCUGAAAUUAAAUUAUAAAAUGAUUAAGCACUAUAAUGACAAAAAUAUUGCAAAAUUAAACAUAUUAUUACGCACAGGUGAAACUUAUUUAAAACUUAUCAUGAGGCUUUGGGAGACUUCUUAAAGAUGUGUAUCAUUUUAACAAACUUCUAAUGAAUCAAUGUAUAAGAAUGACCAAUAUACUUAAAUCUAACAAUAUAAAUUUUAAUUUUUUGCUUUGUUUUUAUGAAAAGAUAUAUUCUAGAAUUUAUCUGAAAUGUUUUCAGAUUUGUUUGUUUUAAUAGAGAUUACAAAAAGAGAUUACUUGAACUCCUUUGGUCAAGAUCAGUCUAAGAAGAUUUUAAAAUCCUUUUUCCAGCAUUCUAUUUUUCUUUCAUGUAAUCUCCUCAUUCCACCUGUUUUCUGACUCUUGUUUUGCCAAACAGAAAUUGGUAUGCUUCAAACACUCCUAAGCAUUAGAUGGGCAUCAACAUUAAAGGGAAGCAUUCAAGCAGGUUCUCUCAUGUUUGGUGGACAUGUAAAAUAGCAAGAAUAUUCUGGAUUCAAAUAUAUACAUUGAUUCAGAGGAUUUUAAAUGAUAAGUGCCACAAGACUAUUUUGUAUGCAAAAAGAUGGAAAGUUUUGCCAUUACCCACAAUGGAGGAAUGUUUGGUGAAGAUAAUAGAACUCCCUGAGAUGGUUAAAUUGUCUUCUUUCAUGAAAUACAAUAUUUAUGUUAUUGUUAACUGGAAACCUUAUGAAUUCUUGUGUAAAACAGAAAAAAAUCUUACAAUUUAUGUUUUUGAGAUUAUACAGGAUAGAUUAUAAAAAGAAGUUACGUUGUAACCAUAGAGUAAGUAAAUUAUCUUUGUACUUAAAACUACUAUAAAGAAGAUUAUAAGCUUUCUUUGUAUCUUUUUCUUUCUUUUCUAUUUUUAUUUGUUUUUUCCUUUCUUGCAUUUUUAGGUUUGAUUUGCUUUUUUUUCUUUUUCUUGCUUUAUAUGUUUGUAUUUUUAUCAUAUACAUAUGAAAUAGUUUGUGAGAAACACACAUUAAAUUUUGAUGAGAAUCCAUUCCCAGCAAUUUCUUUAGGACACAAAGUGUUUUUCAAAUUAAUAUACUAAGCAUGGCUGAGAUGAGAAAGAACAAGAAUGAUAUUCCUGCUUGUUGCCCAGGUUCUUGAACCAUGUUCUUGAUGAGAGAGAAAAUUUAAGGGAACAAUCCAGACUCAAAAGUUAUGCAUGAGAAACGUUCCCUUGAGUAAUUCUGUUUUUUUUUUUUAAAAAAUUGCAGAAUGAACUGCAAUUACUUUGGCAGGAUGUUCAGACAAGGUCUUUUCAAAGCAGCAAUUUAUUGAAGGUGAUAAGUUGAGGCAAAUGCAUAAUUGGCAGAUCAUGAAAUAAGCACAACAUUUAAUAGUACCUGAUUCAGACAAUUCAAACAAUUAUCAGAAAUUACAUUUGCUAGAGAACUUGCAACUAAAAGUGGAAAUGUAUAAAUCUUUUCAUGGGUUUUAUUUUUGUGCUUUGUAUUCAGUGAGAGGAAAACAAUCAGAAUAAAUGUAGCUUAUGCAAUAUCUGAGUAUUUACUAUACUGAGAACAAAAUUGUAAUGAUAGCAGUAUUCUGAUGAAAAUAAUUUGCACUGAUAUAUGAAGGAAAAUAUGGAUUUACUUUGGGGGAGUUUGCAUUCCACUAUUAUUAAUAUGAAAACAUUCUUUUUCUACAUGACACCAUAAUAAGUCAUGUGUGUAUCAACUAUAUUAUCCAGAACCUGCAGUCUAUGUGAUCUGCUGAGUUUAUCAACUGAUCAGAAAGUUGCAGGAAGUUAUGAGCAGAAUUGAGGAAACCAUAAAGCUUCCAUUUUCAUCCCUGCAAAUGAAUUUAACAUUACUAUAUUUCCCCUGCUACUGGUAAUGGGAAUACAAAAAUCUUCCCUUCUUUUAUAGGAAAAGCUUUCCCUUUCCUCAUAGUGAAGAAAUUUAAAAUUUAUUUAAUUGCCAAUAAACAAUACACAUAGUUAUUUUUCUGAGUAAGAAGACAGAUUGAGCAAUCUUGACCCCUUUCUGUCCUUCCCACUACCAGAUGUUUAUGCAUGAAAAGAAAGUUAGAAAUACUACUUUGUAUUGAGGGCAGUUAUAGAGUUUUCUACUCUACUUUUAUUCCCAUCCUAUGUAAGUAUAAGUAAAUAUAUUAUUGGGUUAAACUCUCAGUAAAAAUAUUGUUUCACAUUCAUAGUUUUAUGUAUCUCAAUAAACAUGUAAUUUUCCUAUACUGCCACUCCCUGUUUAGCAACUACUUUGAUUAGAGACUAUUCACAACUAUGAUGGUAAUAAAAAUGUGCACAUUUACAACCAAAUUCCACGUGUCUGACAACAAAAACUUUCUGUAUGAAAUUGAUUAAGUUUCAGAAAGCAGCACCAGUCAGCCAGAGGGUUCUAAUUAACUAAUUAAGGUCCCAGAACUGAGCUUGUUAACUUGUGGUCACCACUUUUUAGGGAAACAUUGCCUACAGAGAAAAGCAGCUCAGGAAGAAAUCACUUGUUUAAGCAAUCUUUCCACUACGCGAGGGGCAAAAAAACAAACAAACAAACAAAAAACCCAACAGCCGGGGGCGGGGGGAGGGAGUCAGGCACAGGACCUGUAUGUAAUUCUCAUACCAUUUCAAUUUAAGGCAAAAUGCAAAUUCAUAUAGCUGCUAGUUUUUAUUUUAAAAAGGAGAGAUCAGCCAUUAUUUUCUUGGUACAGUUCUAGGUAUCACUUGUAAAUGACUAUGUUGGACUGCAUAUGUAAACUAUUUGGGAUAUCUCUUCUGUAUAUAAGAAUUAUGUUUUAAUUACAAGAAGCCCCAACUGUUUUUUUUUAAAUUGAGGCAUUAAUUAAAUACUUAGUUGAUGUAUAAGAAUAAUCCUAAUAAAGGUGCCUGAAAUGUUUUAUGUA